AUUGAACGCUGGCGGAAUGCUUUACACAUGCAAGUCGAACGGUAGAGGGGGCAACCCCUUGAGAGUGGCGAACGGGUGAGUAAUAUAUCGGAACGUGCCCAGUCGUGGGGAUAACGUAGCGAAAGUUACGCUAAUACCGCAUACGAUCUAUGGAUGAAAGCGGGGGAUCGCAAGACCUCGCGCGAUUGGAGCGGCCGAUAUCAGAUUAGGUAGUUGGUGAGGUAAAGGCUCACCAAGCCGACGAUCUGUAGCUGGUCCGAGAGGACGACCAGCCACACUGGGACUGAGACACGGCCCAAACUCCUACGGGAGGCAGCAGUGGGGAAUUUUGGACAAUGGGCGCAAGCCUGAUCCAGCAAUGCCGCGUGCAGGAUGAAGGCCUCGGUUGUAAC
rnacentral:rRNA from 1 species